rnacentral:rRNA from 1 species
UACGGGGGGGGCAAGCGUUGUUCGGAAUUAUUGGGCGUAAAGAGCUCGUAGGCGGUCUGUCGCGUCGGUCGUGAAAACUUGGGGCUUAACCCUGAGCUUGCGGUCGAUACGGGCAUGACUGGAGUUCGGCAGGGGAGACUGGAAUUCCUGGUGUAGCGGUGAAAUGCGCAGAUAUCAGGAGGAACACCGGUGGCGAAGGCGGGCCUCUGGGCCGAUACUGACGCUGAGGAGCGAAAGCGUGGGGAGCAAACAGG